rnacentral:tmRNA from 1 species
AAACUAAGGUACAGAUUGGUGGCUUCGUUCUUGUCUGUGCCCGACAACCAAAGCGAAGAUAAGCAUGUAGAAAGCUCAUUAGUUCCUCGUUUGGACGAGGGUUCGAAUCCCUCCAGCUCCACGG